ACCACCCCGACAUACGUUUUUACUGGCCCCGGGCCAUCGGGCUAUUGCUUAUGUCGAGCCCACAUGACUGGUAACGUUAUGCUGGAAAAUAGCGGCAUCCCAGCCACAUUGAUUGCACUACUGUAGCCACUCUAAAAACAUAGUAUUUGAGUUGCCAGUAAAUGUCUUGAUAAAAAAUCUCCUAAAAAUAUAUUACCUAAAAACCGAAACAGGGAAGACACCGCCCCUGCUGGUCAUUUACCGAAAACAUCAAAGUGAGGCUUAGGUAAUCGCUUGUUUUCGCCUUCUAGAGGACAAUUUAAGAUGUUAAGAUGAUCUACGUCUACCUCGAUGAGCUCCCCGAUGCCGAGAUCUGAAACCAAACCAGAGCAGGCUCAAGGAAGUUCUCAUUCAGGUUGCGCAGUGCUGAGGGAAAGAGGAGAUAUCUGACAUUGACUGAGUACUCUGCCAUAAAGGUGCCAUGGUGUGGAACACUAUAGAACAUAAUGCCCUUGGUGUUCUUUAACAGUCCAUGCAUAUCUGGGUCCUCUGAGGCAUCCAGCAGCAUUUUCUUCACAAGCAAUCCUGAUGGAAAAAUCAAACACAAGAGGAUACAAACAGACAGUGAGCACAACUUUUGUGAGCUGCCCCGAGAAUCCCAUGGAUGAAGAGCACGUCUGCUUUGAUUGGCUGGCUGGAAAUGAACACAUAGUCAAAGGUUGGCCAGAGCGCGGGCUGCAUGAGAUGCCUGCAUGACAUGAGGAGACUGCAUCAUCUCAGCCAGGACAGAUACCCAGCCUGAAGGGAGUCUCUACGAAGCUGAUAAACCCUCUGGAGGAGCUGAAGACCCCCAUUGGCAACUAUUUGGUCACAGUGGCUCUGGACCUGCAGACAGGAUGUGUUUCAGUAAGUUCAGAACAUUUAUUCACCUUAGCAAUCAAAAUCAACCACAGUCUCUGCAGGAGUUAUUCCACUGAGAUGGUUUUUCAGGUAUUCACCAAAUUAACUGUUGAGGUAAAAGUUGUUUCUGUUCAGAAAACUAUGAAAUUCAACUCAGUUCAGUGUGUAGUGGACACCGUUAAAGCACUGUUCUAUAAAUACUUGCAUGCUGCCAAGAGGGCCUCCAACCAUGAAGAUCCACUGAAUUAACUGAACUAAACAAAAGGUGGUUUGUGUUUUUAUUGAGCUUGUUAUUUUUUCAAUGUUGGGGGAAGAUGCACAAUAUGUGCUGUUAAAUGCACGUCUGGGUUGUGUUUAACAGAUAAUUGGAGUUAGAUCAUGUUUAGAUGCGCCAUCAUUACCUUUGAGUGCUGUACCAAUGCCUGUAGGCAGAAAGAUUCCACCUUCUCAGAGGGAACAGAGGUGAGGCUCUGGGCGUAAGGCAGCCCAUUACCUCCGAAACACCACAGACCACCCUAAGACAUAGGAAGGUGUAUGCAUUAGUAAGAGGAUUUAAAUAUUUGAAUUUUCAACCCUUUUUUUUCAAAAAGACAAUGUAGAAGUGCAUGUGUGAAUCCAUGUUUCUGUCUCAAUUACCCGUUGUGCUGCCAAGGACUGAGUGCUCUCUCUGAGGGCCAGUGAGGUGAAGUACUGAACACAUUUGUCCACCUCCGACUGAGGCAGAGAUGCCAGCAGCUGCCUCAGUCCAUCCUCUGCUGACAAACCCUGUGAAGAAGUCAACACACCUAGUUAUCAUCUUAUAUACCUGUGAGAUUUAAUUUAAAGCUAAGGUAAAUGAUCAAUAGUGAUGAAUAGCUUGUGCAGAAAAUAUAAAAAUGUAUAUCCCAUUAUGUUUAGUAUAGAAACAAAGUCUGUGAAUAAGUGUGCUUUGCAAGUAAUAGAGAUAUUGAGGCAUUCUACAUAAUAGACAGAUCAACAGAGAAACUUACAUCCUCAAGGUCAGGCAGUGCAGGUGAGCGCAAGAAGAAUCUAUGGUCUACCUGGGGAGUCCGGGCCAGGCCCACUGCUGUUCCUUGGUCUAUAACCUGGGCUGCUGUCUGGUACUGGUAGUCUGAGUUAUUGACAACAGGUAUGAACUAAUCACACUUUACUUGUUGUAUAUACUGUAAGCCUGAAGUAAUGCGCAACAAUUUCUAUGUAUUUUACCGUGCCAGUGGUGAUUUUCUGCAAGUUCCUGAACAGCCUGUAGUCUGAUAGCUUUGUUGGCUGACCGUGUCCUCUUUAGUAAGACCCAUAAUGCCACCUCAUGUGGGUCUGCAUCUACAUGGCUGAAGUGCUCUAAGGACAUACAAAUAGAGAGCGUACGGACAGGCUAAACAUUUCACAGAACAAAGUGGAUACAGGGUACUACAAACAUUCCUAAAAAAGGCACUGUGAAAUUGCAUUCCAACUGUAUCUACCGUGACUAACUACUAGUAUCUUUACAGCACCAAUUUCAGAUUAUUACAACAGCCAGGAAGUUACAAACCUUGUGGUCUCAAACCUUGUGUCAUCAACUUGGCAGCUAUUUAUUUUAAAAAAGUAAAAAGUUAAUUUAUUAGAUGUCUUACAUGUCUGUUCUAUAAUGUUAAAAAAGCUGUGUAUUUACAAUUAGAGUGAUUAAUACAGAGCUAAUAUAAGGUGGACAAAGUAUUCAUGUAUAAUACAGACAAUUGCCAAUAUGCACAUUGGCGCACAAACUAUAAGGCAUUCAAAACAGGAUGUGCACGUACAAGGCAGGUGUUUCCUUUUGCCGUAAUGUGCACACCCCACAUAAAAAUGAAUGGGUGACUGUACUGUUUUCUGAGAAUAAAUAUUUGUGCUUCUAUUAGCAGCAACUUCUGCUUUCCAAUCUUAGAAACAUGAGGGCCAGUACUACGGUCAUACACUGUGUACUUUUAGUGUGAUUUUCAGGUGAACUGGUACAGUAUAAUGAUAACCUUUGGUUUCUUACCGUCUAGUGUUUGCAGGAAAACCCUAGAUGAUAUUUCCAGAAACCGCCUUGCUGCUUUAUGAAGUUCCCUCCUUGCUUUGUGUGUGAGCCCUAGACACAUAGUGUAAAAUAAAAAAUAAAAAGUCAACCAAGGUAACAGAAGCCAUUUAGUAAUGGUUGCUAGUAGGCAUCUCAGUAUAUAGGUUGGUAGUUGAUCAUUUCCAUUAAAUAAGAGAAACUUGACCAGUGGAAGUGAGAUCACUCAACAGACUGACCCGAUUAUUCAAGCAGGAAAGAUAGUAGAGAGGGGAAGGAAGGAAAGACAGUUAUGAUAACAGACAUCACUGGGCACCUGGACAUGGCAAACUCAGUAUGACUUUGUGCUCAUACAAAAAAAAAGAAGGAAAAAAAAAGCCACUCAGCAUAUUCCUGAUGUCACCCAGCUGGUCUGGGAAGUCCAAAAACAAAACAUCUAAACUAAAACAAAAUCUCAAAAUGGUCUUUAAUUCUUUUCAGUUUUGUAAGGUGAUUAAAAAAGGGACACAUGCUAUUUUCCUAGUUUAGCAAUAAAGUCUAGAUGGAUGACAUCCAGUACCUGCAGUAAGAUUUUCCUUUUCAUCUGAGGGAGUGGCUGUCAGAUAGAUGUAAGACUUGUAUUUCUCCUGAAGAAUGGCACUAGUGUCAAUGGUCACAGCCUUGUUCAAGGCCACCACUUCAUAUGUGAUCAAAAGACAGCCUCUGUAGAAAGGGAAUGGAUAAGAUGAGUCAGUCUAGAUGAUUUUUUUUUUAACCAUUGAAGACAAGGAUUAAAAUCUUUAUGCAAAUAUUGUAACAAACUUACCCCGAGACAACGGCACCAGUUACUUUAGCAACCUUCCCUAAAUGUCAGCAGAAAAAGUAAUCUAUAUUUAGAUAAAAUUGGAUAACGUUAAGGGUGUUAAGCUGUAACUUUACUCACAGAAGCAUUAAGGUUGAAUCCAUGUAAUUAGAUAUCGGAGAUUGCAGACAAUAAGCAGCAUACACGUAGGCCAGUUAUGUCUAAUAACUUACUUAAAUCCUUCCACUGAAGCACUUUCCUGACUCCAGGCGGCCCAGCUGUGCUCAGUCUCCGACAGCGGAUCAAACGUAGAGCUGCACCAGACAUCCUCCGCCUGCAUGUCACCCGGUAUGUUUAGGAGACGUUAAAUCAGUCCGCCACAGAGGAAUAACAACUUAUUUCAAGCACACUAGAAACUUACAUAUCAUAGGGCCAGACGUGAGACCAAUUAUACUUUUGCCAAAACUAAUUUAACGUAACGCACGUAGCUAUAUAAAUAGCGGUCUAUUAGUUAACGUUACGUUACCUGAUGAAAAAAGACCCUGGUAAUCCAGCUACCAGGCUCUAAUUACCAAACAAGCAGCAGUAUCAACAUUAAAACAAUGUGUGAACCAUCUAACAUUAUAAUAAACUAACUAAUGUAAGAAAUAAAACCAUUCACAAGUCUUCUUACUACCUGCUUUUCACUUGGAUUAAACUGCCACCUCAACGGUCAGUCAUUCAGCUUGAUGUUACACUAAAGCAAGCUGUGUGACACUCGUAACGCUAACAUAAACUCUAAAGUUAAACUGUAACAACGGGUCAAGCUAAAUUACCCGUUAGCUAACACUAACUAACUAAGAUUAGCUUUUGGCUAACGUUUCACUUUCAGGGCUUUCCGCCAGCUUACUAACAGUUAACUACACAGCUAUAGCCGAUUAAGGUAACCAUUUUCGUGCGGUUUCAUUUUCAUUAAUGAACAGAUAUUACCUUAUUUAUAGAGGACUACCGUGAUGUUCUUGACUGCAGCGCCCGGCCCCGGCCCCCGACCGGUGUUCAUAAACACUUGUCUCACAAAUAACACGUCAUCAAACGCGAGCAGAUUUUUUUUAUAGUAACAUAGUAACCAAGGUUUGUGGAACAUUGUGCCAAAUUUUAUCUUUGAAAAACUUGGUAAAAUCACAUUCUUGCUUCAAUGCCCAUACUCCAUUAACAGACUGCCAGUUAAAUUGUCAAACUUCCAUAAACAGGCUCUAACUUGUUGGUCUCUUCUAUACAAACACAAUUUCUCCCCUCAUAAAUGUUUUAUCUGGAACAACAUGAACAUCAUAUAUAGGAACAAGACACUCUUUAUAGAAAACUGGUUUAAACAUGAUAUUCUAUUGGUAUCCCAAUUAUUAAAUAACUCAAAUCACAUUUUAUCUUAUGACGACUUCACCCAUAAAUUUAAUUUCCAUCCUCUAAGAAAAGAAUUUGAUAUUGUAACCAGAGCUAUACCCCAUGGGAUCAUCACCCUGC